rnacentral:lncRNA from 1 species
UGUGUGUGUGUGUGUGUGUGUGUGUGUGUGUGUGUGUGUGUGUGUGUGUUUUGCCCAGCAGUUAUGGUCAUAGCUCCAUAUAUUUCACAUUCAUGACUCUGCCUACCUAGACUGGCUGAGCCACCUUAAUGUACACUGGAAUCAGACUUUGAGCCCAAGAGACUGAAGGGAAACCUCAAACAGUGGGUGUCCAAAAAUGAGAAGAGUGUUCUGGCUGGUAUGCAGUGAGAGGAGAGUAAGAGAAGGAACCUCUUCAAGAAACAUGGAAAGUCUGGUGUCCAUCAUGAAGUGUGUGGUUGCCAACUGUCCUAAAGGGAAAAAAUCCUUUCAUAUUUCUUCAUGUAAAGGACUUGUUUGCCAUGCAGAGAGAUCCAGUGUCCUGCCCUGAUUAGACAGUCCUUUUAAAUCAAGAGUUUCCAGGAGACAGAGUCACAGACAACAAAUCAGCUGUGUCCUGCCUCAGCUGCCACGCCCUGUACCUUUGCAUUUUCUUCUGAGAGUAAAU